UGUUCACCUGUCCAGGAUUACCCCAGAGACCCUGCCCUGAGGUGCCCCUGUUGGUGUCGCGACUCGUGCCCUACAACAGUUCUUCAUGAGGGUCCACCACCGCCUCGGUGCCUUGUUGGUGCCAAAUAACGACGUUCUAUAGGAUGCGCAGACCCGAGGAGUAUCCAUCUCACCCGGGCACCUCCCGCAGUACCGGUGAGCCCUCGAGCAGCAGCCAGAAGCAUAGUACUACUGCACUUCCACGUGUGGCUGCACCGGGGAUUCGGUGCCUUGCUGACCAACAGUGAGGUCGCAAAGACUGCGCUGACCCAAGGAGUAUCCAUUUUACCCGGGCCCCACCCGUCGUACCGGCGAGCCCUCGGGCAGCACCCAGAACGACGAGACUACGGCACUUCUGUGUGUGGUUGCACCGACCUGCCUUAACGAACAACACUGAGGUCCCAAAGACUGCGCCGAGCCAAGGAGUAUCCGGGCACCACCCGCUGGAUCGGUGAGCCCUCGGGCAGUACCCACAAGGAGAGGACUACUGCACUUGUAUGCUUGGCUGCAAAAAGACUGGGUGCCUUGCUGACCAACACUGAAGUCGCAAAGAUGCGCAGAGUCGAGGAGUAUCCAUCUCACCCGGAAACCACCUGCUGUAUUGGUGAGCCCUCGAGCAGCAACCAGAAGCACGGGACUAAUGCACUUUUACCUGUGGUUGCACCGGGGCUUCGGUGCCUUGCUGACUAGUACUGCGAUCCCAAAGGAUGCGCAGAGCCAAGGAGUAUCCAUAUCGCCCAAGCACCUCUUGCUGUAUUUGUGAGCCCUCGGGCCGCAUCCACAAGAGGAGGAAUGCUGCACUUCCAUGGGCAGCUGCAAUAUAACUGGGUGCCUUGCUGACCAACACACAGGCCCCAAAGACUGCGCCGAGCCAAGGAGUACCAGCCAGAGGCACCGGGCUCCUGAGCUUCUACGUGUGGUUGGAGAGGGGUUUCGGUGCCUUGCCGACCUCGUCGGAAGUCCCAACAAGGCUGCGGCGAAACAAAGGAUGGUCACCUCCCCAGCAUUACUCCAGAGGACGGGUCACAAGCCCCUGGAGGUGUCGCCACUCGUGUCCUACAACAAUUCUUCGUCAGUGUCCACCACCGCCUCGAUGCCUUGUUGGUGACAAAUAACGACGUUCCACAGGCCAGAUGCGCAGACUCGAGGAGUAUCCAUCUCACCCGGGCACCUCCCGCAGUAUAGGUGAGCCCUCGAGCAGCUGCAAGAAGCACGAGACUCCUGCACUUCUACGAGUGGCUGCAGCGUGGGCCAACGCUGAGUCCCAAAGACUGCGCCGGGCCAAGGAGUAUCCAUUUUACCUGGGCACCACCCGCAGUAUCGGUGAGCCCUCGGGCAACACCCACAAGGAGAGGACUACUGCACUUGUAUGCUUGGCUGCAGAAGGAUUGGGUGCCUUGCUGACCAACACUGAGGUCCCAAAGGUUGCUGAAACGUUGCCUCGUGGCAAUACAUCGUGUUUGGACUGACGUCACAGACAAGACACGCGCACACACAGAGGGAAACGCGAAGCAUUGUGCGUUCCUGUUAACUCUGCCUCUGCAAUCUUCGCGCUAAUGUGUUGCGCGGAAUGCUGUGGCGAUUACAACAACAAGAAAAGUGGAGCCUAACUCACUGUUCUUACGUGUGUUUCUAUGCCGCAUCAGCAUGUCGACAGUUCGAUACUUGCUGGCUAUUAGUUUGGCCUUACGCAUAUCGGACAAAAGUAUACUCGUGGAAAAAUACACUGCGGACUUUUUUUUUGCUUUAAGUCGGAACUGGCGUACUUGAACUAUUAUUUUUCAAUAAAAGAGAACAAAACUCUAGACAUGUGAUCCCUCGCCUGUCCCCUAGAGUUCUACUACACUUAUUGGUUGUUCCCGUUUAUUUUCGUCAUAUUUUGUGAAAAUAAACAGCACAGUGCAUGACGAAUGGUCUCAUCGGUAGCACUUGUCGUG